rnacentral:rRNA from 1 species
UAGGGAAUCUUCCGCAAUGGGCGAAAGCCUGACGGAGCAACGCCGCGUGAGUGAUGAAGGUCUUCGGAUCGUAAAACUCUGUUAUUAGGGAAGAAUAAAUGUGUAAGUAACUAUGCACGUCUUGACGGUACCUAAUCAGAAAGCCACGGCUAACUACGUGCCAGCAGCCGCGGUAAUACGUAGGUCCCGAGCGUUGUCCGGAUUUAUUGGGCGUAAAGCGAGCGCAGGCGGUUAGAUAAGUCUGAAGUUAAAGGCAGUGGCUCAACCAUUGUAGGCUUUGGAAACUGUUUAACUUGAGUGCAGAAGGGGAGAGUGGAAUUCCAUGUGUAACGGUGAAAUGCGUAGAUAUAUGGAGGAACACCGGUGGCGAAAGCGGCUCUCUGGUCUGUAACUGACGCUGAGGCUCGAAAGCGUGGGGAGCGAACAGG